GAGCGUAUAGCUCAGUGGUAAAGUGUAUGCCUAGCAUUCAUGAGGUCCUGGGUUCAAUCCCUAGUACCUCCA
rfam:Camelus ferus unplaced genomic scaffold scaffold400, whole genome shotgun sequence.